GCGCUCGUGGCGCAGCUGGAUAGCGCGUUAGACUCCGACUCUAAAGGCCGUGGGUUCGAAUCCCGCCGGGCGCACCA
rnacentral:tRNA from 2 species